AGUCGAGCGGUAGAGAGAAGCUUGCUUCUCUUGAGAGCGGCGGACGGGUGAGUAAUGCCUAGGAAUCUGCCUGGUAGUGGGGGAUAACGUUCGGAAACGAACGCUAAUACCGCAUACGUCCUACGGGAGAAAGCAGGGGACCUUCGGGCCUUGCGCUAUCAGAUGAGCCUAGGUCGGAUUAGCUAGUUGGUGAGGUAAUGGCUCACCAAGGCGACGAUCCGUAACUGGUCUGAGAGGAUGAUCAGUCACACUGGAACUGAGACACGGUCCAGACUCCUACGGGAGGCAGCAGUGGGGAAUAUUGGACAAUGGGCGAAAGCCUGAUCCAGCCAUGCCGCGUGUGUGAAGAAGGUCUUCGGAUUGUAAAGCACUUUAAGUUGGGAGGAAGGGCAGUUACCUAAUACGUGAUUGUUUUGACGUUACCGACAGAAUAAGCACCGGCUAACUCUGUGCCAGCAGCCGCGGUAAUACAGAGGGUGCAAGCGUUAAUCGGAAUUACUGGGCGUAAAGCGCGCGUA
rnacentral:rRNA from 1 species